CAGAGAGGGGAGCACAGACACAUUAUCCUCUCAGGCUUUACUUAAGCUAUCUGCUGCAUCUUUUCAUAUUUCUGAUCCCGCAGCACUAAAAUGACCUUGACCCAGGAGCCUAUUCUGUCUUUUUUACUGGAACACGGAGGCAAAGUGAGGACCUCUGAGCUGCUGAACAACUUCAGGAGUCACAUCAGCUGCAGAGAUCCCGCGGAAAAGCAGCACAAUAGGGACCUUUUUAAGAAGUUGCUGAACAGCGUCGCUGUGGUCAAACAGAUAGACGAGGUGAAGUUCGUGGUUGUGAAGAGAAUGUACCAGGACUUCGUAAAAGAUUUGACGCACGAUCACAUUCCCAAGUGCAUCAGCUAAAAACUAUCAGCUUGGGAAGCAAAGUUUCUUCAAGAUCCGUGCCGGCUCUGAAUUUGGCAGCUUGCAAGAAGGAUGCGGCGAACAUGCGGACACACGCGGAGAGACACGCCAAACAUGUUUUUCUCAACUGUAGUUGUAAUAACAAUACUGCCUGAAGCAUGUCCACUUCCACUGAGAUUUUCUCAUCUGAUCUCGAACUCAUUUGGACCUUGCAUUGGUUCCUUAAUGUGGCUGUGUAAAGACUGUGGUGCUGAGGCGUCUAAAAGAUCAGAAAUUCUUAAACAUUGCAGAUUAAGUCGUCAUCAUUUGGGGCGUGGCCAUUGUAUUAAUUGCGUGUAUCCAAACUGUCCAUGCAUUUUUAAGACUUGGAAUUCACUUUUGACACACUUAUCCAGGAAUCAUUGUAAUGCUUUAAAGUGCUCUGACAAAUUUACUUUGUCCUGUCAGUUAUGUGGUUUUAGUGAACUUGGAACAGAGCGUGAUUGUUUUGCACAUAUAACCCAGCAUUUGAAAAACUAUGAGACAGUUACUUGUAUGUUCAAAGGCUGUUAUUACAAAUCCAACAUUUACAGUACAUUCAAGUCACACAGAAGUCGUAAGCACAGCUUACAGUUGGUGGCAGAUUUUAAAGACGAAGUAGUCAAAGAAAGUGUUGCAGCUGAAACAGCAGAGCCUGAUGUUCAAGACAAUGAGGAAUUCAGCGAUAGCAGUCAGUCUGAUGAUAUAAGUACAACACAGGAUCAGAAAGAUAUAGUAGAACAAAAACUUGCAGCUGUGUUAUUAAAACUUGGAAAUAUUUUUCAUGUGCCCAGUGCUGCAUUUGAUGAAUUGCUGGAAGAACUGCAGUAUUUGUUGAGCACAGCGUGUUUUCAUAGUACAACAAAUUUAA